rnacentral:rRNA from 1 species
GAUGAACGCUGGCGGCGUGCCUAAUACAUGCAAGUCGAGCGAACGGACGAGAAGCUUGCUUCUCUGAUGUUAGCGGCGGACGGGUGAGUAACACGUGGAUAACCUACCUAUAAGACUGGGAUAACUUCGGGAAACCGGAGCUAAUACCGGAUAAUAUUUUGAACCGCAUGGUUCAAUAGUGAAAGACGGUCUUGCUGUCACUUAUAGAUGGAUCCGCGCUGCAUUAGCUAGUUGGUAAGGUAACGGCUUACCAAGGCAACGAUGCAUAGCCGACCUGAGAGGGUGAUCGGCCACACUGGAACUGAGACACGGUCCAGACUCCUACGGGAGGCAGUAGUAGGGAAUCUUCCGCAAUGGGCGAAAGCCUGACGGAGCAACGCCGCGUGAGUGAUGAAGGUCUUCGGAUCGUAAAACUCUGUUAUUAGGGAAGAACAUAUGUGUAAGUAACUGUGCACAUCUUGACGGUACCUAAUCAGAAAGCCACGGCUAACUACGUG